GACAGAGGUGCCGAGCGUUAGGCGGAAUCACUGGGCUUAAAGCGUGUGUAGGCGGGCGGGCAAGUACCUUGUGAAAUCCCACGGCUCAACCGUGGAACUGCUGGGUAUACUGCCUGUCUUGAGCCAGCCAGGGGCAGUCGGAACAGACGGUGGAGCGGUGAAAUGCGUAGAUAUCGUCUGGAACGCCAAAGGUGAAAACAGACUGCUGGGCUGUGCUGACGCUGGAGACACGAAAGCCAGGGGAGCGAACGGG
rnacentral:rRNA from 1 species